GGGAAUUUGGCUUAAUGGUAGAGCACUUGCCUGGCAUGCAUGAAGCUCUCCUGGGUUCGAUUCCUCAGUACCA
rnacentral:tRNA from 1 species